AAGUCGUAACAAGGUUUCCGUAGGUGAACCUGCGGAAGGAUCAUUAACACGUAUCCAACGUUAAACCCCCCGUGAACCUUCAUUGUGCUCCCCCAUUCCGUUAGGACGCGGCAAUCCCUGGUAAAUCAUCGCCGAACAGUUUUGAUUCAGGGACCUCUGCAUGGAGUGGGCAGCAGCGCGAGGCAAGUGGCCUGGCAUUCGAAAGAAUGGCGCAGUAACGAUCGCUAGAGGCCGACACGGCCGGCGACCGGGCCCUAUCACCUUUGCAUGAAAACGGGCCUGCGCUUAAUUGUGCGGCCACCAAACUCGAACAACUGUUAACAAUGGAUAUCUUGGUUCUC
rnacentral:misc_RNA from 1 species